AUUUUUGGCUGUACUUGCUUAAUUAUAAUUGAGUAACUUUUCUUUGGGGCUUCUGCAAAUCUUUUAUCUUCUAUGUAGAAUUUCCAGUGCAGACAAUUCCCAGUUUAUGAUGGUUUCACAGAGGUACAAUUUCCCCAGCUUCACAAUGGUGCAGAACCGAUAUGCACCAGAACGGCAGCCCUGUGGUUCGGAUUCUGGAUGUGCACCUUUUCCCGGGUUAGCGUUACGAGGUCUGAUCGUCUCUGAUGAUGCUGGGAGGCCGCGGCAAACACAGCGUGCAGUCAGCCCCCUGGCGACAAGGGGCAUUUGUCAACGUUCCAUGCUGCACUCUGCUGAAUUAUCUGGCAGAAUGACAGAGGGAGGGCCAGUGAGAUCUUCCAUCUGCUGGUUCACUCCGAGGCCCACAGAGCCUUAGGGGCCAGGUCAAGGCCAUGUGGGCAGCAGUGACCCAUGUACGUCAGGCAUCAUUUGCUGCCUCCCAGCACAGCAGCGGCAAGUUGGGUCAGAAGCAGAGGCAACUGGAGCCUUCUAUUCCUUGUCUGGGCUGAUGUACUCACUGGAGUGAUCAGAUAUAAGGCUCUAUCUUGUGAACGUGAAGUGAUAAGCCAUGGGAUUAACCAGAAUAACUCUAUUGUGUUGAGUCAUAUGUACAAGGGACUACUGUACAGCAGGGAGAAUGAACUGGAACCUCAUGCAAUAGCAUAGAUAAAUCUCACAAAUAUGAGUAUCAGAUGCCAGACACAAGGGAGCAUUAGCCCGGAGCUGGAUGGAAGUGGAGCAGCUGGGAUUUGAACUGACACUCCCAUAUGAGAGGCUAGCACUGUAAGUGGUAGCUUAACCUGCGGCAUACAAGGCCAGCUCCAAUGCAGAGUUUAGCUACUCAAAUGUGACCUGCCAAACCCCAGCACUGCCAUCACCCGGAAGUUCCCUGGAAACGCAGAAUCCAGGGCCCGGCCCAGACUGACUCAAGCAGACGCUGCACUUUAACAAGAUUCCCGGGAGAUCUGUAUGCACACUAAAGGUAAGAGGAGAAACCCUCCCAGCAUAUCUGCCUUAAUAACUUUAUGCUGGGAAAAUUUCGGAACCGCUGUUGGAUCAACUGCCUAGUAUAACUGUAAAGGUUUAAAAAUUCAUAGAGAACUUCCUUUUAGACAUGGUUGUUUCUACUAAAACUUCUAAGAUGCA